ACGAACGCUGGCGGCGUGCCUAAUACAUGCAAGUCGAACGAAACUUUCUUACACCGAAUGCUUGCAUUCACCGUAAGAAGUUGAGUGGCGGACGGGUGAGUAACACGUGGGUAACCUGCCUAAAAGAAGGGGAUAACACUUGGAAACAGGUGCUAAUACCGUAUAUCUCUAAGGAUCGCAUGAUCCUUAGAUGAAAGAUGGUUCUGCUAUCGCUUUUAGAUGGACCCGCGGCGUAUUAACUAGUUGGUGGGGUAACGGCCUACCAAGGUGAUGAUACGUAGCCGAACUGAGAGGUUGAUCGGCCACAUUGGGACUGAGACACGGCCCAAACUCCUACGGGAGGCAGCAGUAGGGAAUCUUCCACAAUGGACGCAAGUCUGAUGGAGCAACGCCGCGUGAGUGAAGAAGGUCUUCGGAUCGUAAAACUCUGUUGUUAGAGAAGAACACGAGUGAGAGUAACUGUUCAUUCGAUGACGGUAUCUAACCAGCAAGUCACGGCUAACUACGUGCCAGCAGCCGCGGUAAUACGUAGGUGGCAAGCGUUGUCCGGAUUUAUUGGGCGUAAAGGGAACGCAGGCGGUCUUUUAAGUCUGAUGUGAAAGCCUUCGGCUUAACCGGAGUAGUGCAUUGGAAACUGGAAGACUUGAGUGCAGAAGAGGAGAGUGAAACUCCAUGUGUAGCGGUGAAAUGCGUAGAUAUAUGGAAGAACACCAGUGGCGAAAGCGGCUCUCUGGUCUGUAACUGACGCUGAGGUUCGAAAGCGUGGGUAGCAAACAGGAUUAGAUACCCUGGUAGUCCACGCCGUAAACGAUGAAUGCUAGGUGUUGGAGGGUUUCCGCCCUUCAGUGCCGCAGCUAACGCAAUAAGCAUUCCGCCUGGGGAGUACGACCGCAAGGUUGAAACUCAAAGGAAUUGACGGGGGCCCGCACAAGCGGUGGAGCAUGUGGUUUAAUUCGAAGCAACGCGAAGAACCUUACCAAGUCUUUACAUCCUUCUGACCGGAACUUAACCGUUCCUUUCCUUCGGGACAGAAGAGACAGGUGGUGCAUGGUUGUCGUCAGCUCGUGUCGUGAGAUGUUGGGUUAAGUCCCGCAACGAGCGCAACCCUUGUUGUCAGUUGCCAGCAUUAAGUUGGGCACUCUGGCGAGACUGCCGGUGACAAACCGGAGGAAGGUGGGGACGACGUCAAGUCAUCAUGCCCCUUAUGACCUGGGCUACACACGUGCUACAAUGGACGGUACAACGAGUCGCGAGACCGCGAGGUUUAGCUAAUCUCUUAAAGCCGUUCUCAGUUCGGAUUGUAGGCUGCAACUCGCCUACAUGAAGUCGGAAUCGCUAGUAAUCGCGAAUCAGCAUGUCGCGGUGAAUACGUUCCCGGGCCUUGUACACACCGCCCGUCACACCAUGAGAGUUUGUAACACCCAAAGCCGGUGGGGUAACCGCAAGGAGCCAGCCGUCUAAGGUGGGACAGAUGAUUGGGGUG
rnacentral:rRNA from 1 species